UGAAUACGAGACGCUAAGGCGUCGAAGUAGUGUAUGUCAUACUUCCAAGAAAAGCUUGCACUGUCAUAGAUAAAAACCGCCUGUACCAUAACCGACACAGGUGGGUAGGUAGAGUAUACUAAGGGGCGCGAGAUAACUCUCUCUAAGGAACUCGGCAAAAUAACUCCGUAACUUCGGGAGAAGGAGUGCCUUAUUCGUAAGGUUGCGAUAACAAGAUCCAAGCAACUGUUUAUCAAAAACACAGGUCUCCGCUAAGUCGUAAGACGAUGUAUGGGGGCUGACGCCUGCCCAGUGCCAGAAGGUUAAAGAAGUUGGUUAGCAAUUGCGAAGCUGAUAACUGAAGCCCUGGUGAACGGCGGCCGUAACGAUAACGGUCCUAAGGUAGCGAAAUUCCUUGUCGGGUAAGUUCCGACCCGCACGAAAGGCGUAAUGAUUUGGAUACUGUCUCGGAGAGGGGCUCGGUGAAAUAGACUUGUCUGUGAAAAUGCGGACUACCUGCACCAGGACAGAAAGACCCUAUGAAGCUUUACUGUAACUUGAAAUUGAAAUUGGACUUUAUUCGCGCAGUAUAGGUGGGAGGCGUUGAUUAUAAUCUUGUGGGAUUAUUGGAGCCAUCAGUGAGAUACCACUCUUGUAAUGUUAGAUUUCUAACUUUGAAUCAUUAUCUGGUCGAAGAACAGUUUCAGGCGGGCAGUUUGACUGGGGCGGUCGCCUCCUAAACGGUAACGGAGGCGUACAAAGGUUUCCUCUGAACGGUUAGAAAUCGUAUCUAGAGUGUAAAGGCAUAAGGAAGCUUGACUGUGAGACCUACAAGUCGAGCAGGGACGAAAGUCGGUCUUAGUGAUCUGACGGUACUGAGUGGAAAGGCCGUCACUCAACGGAUAAAAGUUACUCUAAGGAUAACAGGCUGAUCUCCCCCAAGAGUUCACAUCGACGGGGAGGUUUGGCACCUUGAUGUCGGCUCAUCGCAUCCUGGGGCGGUAGUACGUCCCAAGGGUUGGGCUGUUCGCCCAUGAAAGCGGUACGCGAGCUGGGUUCAGAACGUCGUGAGACAGUUCGGUCCAUAUCCGGUGUAGGCGUUAGAAUAUUGAGAGGAGCCUUCUUUAGUACGAGAGGACCGAGAAGGACAUACCUCUGGUGUACCAGUUAUCGUGCCAACGGUAAACGCUGGGUAGCUAUGUAUGGAGUGGAUAACCGCUGAAAGCAUCUAAGUGGGAAGCCCACCUCAAGAUAAGUAUUCUCAUU
rnacentral:rRNA from 1 species